CAGAUUCCUAACCUGCUAUCUGCUGGGCGGAACCUCUGAGUUUAGCUGAGUCUCGGAGAUGGAAUUGGGGCAGGCGCUUGUCACAUAAAGUCCGUGCCCUGCUCUCGGGCUCCUGUCGCAACACUGACAAAUCCGGGAGGCUUCGUGAGAGUGCAAAAAUGAGAGAUGAGGCACCAGAGGUCCCCAGGGAGCAAAUCUGAAAGCCAGCGCCUCCUGAGCACAGGCUGCCAGGGGCGAGACUACAUUAGACAUUGUCCCCAGAUAUAAGAAGCAUCACUUCCUUCAGACAGAGGACCCAAAGCCUAUCUGGUUAGCUGAACCAUUAAGCCAGCUGGGAUACAUCAAGAAAUCAAGGCAAGGAAGCCUCAUGACAAGAUUCAGAAUAAAAUGUCUUUGGAAGGAAAAACAAAUCUGAAAUCUUUGGAUAAAUAAACAUGCAGAUUGAUAGAUGAAGCAUAAAACAAGACCAGAUGCUGUGGUUUCCAGGAUGCACUUGGCUUCCCAUCCUUUAUAACCUGGAGCAUUUUUUGCCGUCUGUGUCUGAUGUGUCCACCAGAGACCAGUCCCAUCAGGUAUCCAUAGGGUUUAAGAACAUGGACAUUGCAGCCCAAGAGACUUGGCUUUAGAUGUAAGAUCUGUUAUUUACUAGCUCUGUGACUUUGGGCAAGUUAUUAAGCUCUCUAAGCCUCAAGUUCCUCACCCUUAAUACAGGGACAAAAGCGGUACUCACACCAUGGAGUUGCACUGAGAAUUAAAUGAGACAGUGCAUGGCAACUGCUGAACUCUAUGCCUGGCACUUAGCAAGUGCUCAAUAAACAUGCCGUUGUAAUACCUCAGAUGUUAUUUUCAUUAUACUAUGAAGUGAUAUUCUCUCAUUUCCAGAAGCCCUGUAUGGACAAAGAUUCCUUCAUAUCUCCUUAGUGUUUGCAUGAGGACUUCACCUCUCAAGUUGUCAACUGUGGCAUCUUGUCUGGGAAUGUUUAUCUUCUCUGACUUAUGAAGAGGCCAUGCCUCUGUCUCUUUGACCUCUUAGUUCUCUCAUUCUCAGUUUUAAUACACCCCUCUGAGUGAGUCUUACUGAUUAGUAUUCUAUAAACCAUUAAUGAUAGUUAUAUAAAACCUGUAAGAUUCCAUCCUUGUGACCCCCCCAGACAAAUAAGUUUAAAAUAUUGGUCAAUCCAUGAAAAUGACAUCUGGAUAUUUCUCAGUUCACUGAAGACCAUCAUUAAUAUUGGCCGUCGUUCUCACCUGUCUAAUAACAACCAUUUAUUGAGCUUACAGUUCUUGUUCUCGUGGAGUUCUGAAGACUCAAAUGUCUUGUGAAAAUGCAAGUCUUUAUAGCACUACUGAUUUUUUUUUAAGCUAGAGGUUUAACCUAUCUUUCAUCUCUAUUCAUUAUUUGUUUUGGGAAAACUUCCUUACUUAGAUUGCUGAGUGACUUUUGCACAGAAGAAAGAAAUUAGUUCAACGGAUGAAAGUGAAAUGCUGAACCAGAUUUGAGAUUUUAGAGGUCAAUCCUUUGCAUGUCUUAUCAUUUCUUUGCAAACUAUAACCUUUUUGUUACCCUUGAGGACUAUCAUAACAUCAGAGCUGCUAUUCUUCAUACAAUAUUUAAUUCAUUUGAACAUAACAUGUUUUUAAAAAAAUAUUUACUAUGUGUAACUCAUGGAAAUGCUCCUAAAAUUGAGGGAGUUCUACUGAGCAAAAGAAAUGGAAUAUCCUGUUUAGAGACUGAGUGCAUGGCUUCCAAAGGCAAAGGCAAGGGCAAAACUUGCUAAUUUUAGAUGUUUAGGGAUGAAAUAUCUACUAGACCUUGUUUCAUCUUAGAGAGGCCCAACAGUAGCGUACUAGCAAGCUAAUGUUAAAUUUGCCCUCCCCACCUGUUUAUUGCCAGUGUUUCUGGAAACAGAAAAACAAAACAAAGGAGUAAGGAAAAAAAAAAGCAAAGUCUGUAUGUAACUUGAGUUAGAGAAGUGCAGGAAACAAAUCAAGUAUACUAAGUUAGCAGUGCUCCAAGUCCCACUCAACUUCAGAAUAGUAUACCUGGUAGAGUUUCACAAACCUUUCUCCUUUCUAGCCUGCUGCUUAUUAAGUUUAAAUGCCAGAACCAUUCUGAGAGCUUUGAAUGCCCAUAUAAGGCCUGGAGCCAGAGACAUGCCCCACACCCAUUUCUUUAUAUUUUCUGAAUUCCCAAGUAAACGAGAGAUCAGAAAAAGGGACAGUAAAGGAAAGGAGACAAAGAGGUCGACUCCCCAACAGUGUUUUCUUCCCCUUUGGUGUUUUGCAAAAAGCUGAAGAGAUGCUAAUGAUUCUUUAACCAACUGAAAGCAGCGUUAGAAUUCUGUCUAGAUAUUCUUGAACCUCUGGGCAGCGUUCCACCUUCCACACUCCAAUCCAUCCAUCAUUCAAUACUACUUAUGCUAGAUAAACUGGCUUGCCAUAGUUUAUUAUCAUGUUGUCCUCACAGACUAGUAUUCAAGGAGCCUCCCCUGACCACUUCCUUGGGACUCUUGGAAGCAAACAGAGAAACAGUUUAAAUGAAUGGUAAAAACCCAUGAAAUACAGUGAUUGUUUUUUUUGGGGGGGGGAGAGUAAAUAAUCAUAUGUCUUCAGUUGAGAGAAUCAUAAGGAUUUCUAGCACAUGAAUACACAUUCACAGCCCCAAAACAGAAGACAACUAAAAAAUCUCUGCAGAGGGACAUUUCCUCCUCAUUCCAUAGGAAGGUGGGGAUCUAUGACACUCCAUUUUAAUGAUCAUCCCCAAAUUCCGUUUCUGUGCCCAACACAGUAAAGCAUUUCCAAGUACAGAGUGUCAGACAGGUGAACAACAACAAACAGCCUCUGUCAAAAUAGUUUGAAGCAUGCAAGAUAUAGAUUAUUGAGUACAGUACUUGAAAAAUUCUAAAUUAUGACAGUCCUCAAUGACAGCUCUGUGACCUGUCUCAUGUUAGGUACCUUUCUGGGUUUCUGCCCCUGAAAUUGAAAUAGUGCUACCAACUUCAUAAUUCCGUGAUUCUGUGAUUCGUUCAUUCUGACCUGUAUGUGGGAGAACUUGUUUAAAUUUUCUCCCCUUUAGAAUCCAACAAAUGAAUGCUAAAUUUGAACUCUAGGUUUCAGAGUAUACUUUAACAUAUUAAGAAAUUAUAACGAUUUCUAACAAGACUUGUGUACUCCCUUGUCAACUACCAUUUUGCCUGUCAUAGUUUUGUCACGAUGUGGUUUUCUAUUUGUAUGCUUAAAUUUUACAAUCUGUGAUCUCUAUGUAUGUAUGUAUGGUUGAGUUUAGUUCCUUGAAACCAAAGCAUUAAAUAUCAGUAAGGGCUAUAUCAAGAACCUUAAAAAAAAGAAGUGUGGUUAAUAUAAAUUCCAUCUUCCACAGAAGAUCAUGACUUUCAGAAUAUGAACUCGUGAACAACCGAGGGAAAAGAUUCUUUUCUGCUUUAUAACUAACUUUAUUGUUUUAUUCUCUUGAGAAUUCCCUAUCGAACUUGCCAAUGAGGGUUUUAUCUAAUGUGGCACUUUUCUGGAAUGUAACCAUCACUGCCCCCAGUUAGUGAGAGAUUACUAUAACAAAUAGUGAAAACACUCACAUAGAUUCUCAUGAAUCAUGUUUUAAUUGAGAGCUAGCCAAAGAGGAAGGGUGGAGAGGUAAGGACAUAGAUUUAUCUCUGCUUGUGUGUUCAUUUGUACUUUUAUUAAGAGAAAAAACAUUUUCCUCUUUUUUAAAUAAAAUCUCAUCCUCUAGGAAGUAAAUUCAGGAGUAAGACGCUCCACACCUGUUUUGCAUAGUCCAAUUGAUUGCUAAUUUCAUUGUCUUGACAUACUCGGAGGUAUGUUAAUUUGGAACACAUCUCUCUCAUAGAAGUAACAAACCAACAUUAACACAGGUUCUAUCCAUUGCUGAGAGAGGAGUGUUGAAGUUUCCAAACAAAAUUGUGGAUUUGUCUGUUUCUCCUUUCAGUUCUAUCAGUUUUUAAUUCAUGUGUUUUUUUUUUAAAUAAUUUUUCUUGGAGUAUAGUUGAUUUACAAUGUUGUGUUAGUUUCUGCUGUACAGCAUAGUGAAUCUGUUAUACAUAUACAUAUAUCCACUCUUUUUUUAGAUUCUUUUCCCAUUAUAGGCCAUUACAGAGUAUUGAAUAGAGUUCCCUGUGCUAUAUAAUUCAUGCAUUUUGUGAUGUCCUUAUUAAUCUCUGGUAAUUUUCUCUGCUCUGAAAUCUACUUUGUCUGAUAUUAAUAUAGCUUCUCCCACUUGGUUUUGAUUAGUGUUCACAUGUCAUAUAUUCUUUCACCCCUUUAUUUUUAACAUACCUAUAUCAAUAUAUUUUAAUUUCUUUUUUGUAGACAAUACAUAGCUGGGUCAUGUUCUUUGUAUCCAUUCUACCAAUCUGUAUGUUUAACUGGUAUAUUUAGACCAUUUCCAUUUAAUGUAAUUAUUGAUAUAUUUGGAUAUAGAUCAGCCAUUUUAUUUGUUUUCUCUUGGUUUCCUUUUUUUUCUUUCAUUUCUCUGUUUUCCCUUUCCAGCCUUAUUUUGAGGUAGUUGGACAUUUUUUAGUACAGUUGACCCUUAAACAACGUGAAGGUUAGGGGUGCUGCCCCUUCAUGCAGUUGAAAAUCUUCAUGUAACUUAUAGCCGACCCUCUGUAUACACAGUUCCUCCAUGUCCAGUUCCUCCGUAUCUGCAGUUCCACAUCUGCAGAUUAUGUAAUAUUGUAGUAUUUACUAUUGUAAAAAAUCUGUGUAUAAGUGGACCCAUGCAGUUCAAACUCCUGUUGUUCAAGGGUCAGCUGUAUUCA